CCUUUUGGCAGCGGCGGCUCCACCAUUUGCCGGCAGUUCGCGAAGAAAACUAGCUUUAUUUCUUGAUUGUCGUCACCGGAAGCCUCGUAAACCGCCCGUGUUCUACUCCUCCAAAAACACGCUGCCACAAUUUCAAAGGUGGAGCAGGUAAUUCCUGUUGAUUCUUGAAACUGUUUUUUUAGUGCGUUUAUUCGAUCUAUGGGAAUAUCGAUGUUGGUGUGUUGUAGGCUGUAUUCGGGCAGGGGUGGGGGAGGGAUAGGAAUUGCAAUUUGAUGAUUAAUUAGGGCAUUUUGAGGAGGAUUAGGAAAGAAAUCUCUAUCCCAUGUAGGCUUAAUGGUGGGAGCUUGGUCAAUUCCUCUAGCGAAUUCCCCCACAGCCUUCAAGAAUUGGGCAGCUCCAAGGCCAUCACAGAUACUAUGGCAGAAAAUCAAACCAAUCACAAACCCUCCACAAGCAAACUCCGUGAUCUGCAUCUUCACAAGCGCUUCUGCUUCUGCUUCUGAUUCAGAUUCAUGUUCCUCAGGAAGAAGAAGAUGAAAGGGAAUCGAACUAAGAUCAUCCAAAUACAUAAGGGAAUCAAGGGUUGAGUCUGAAGAGGCUUCCACGAACAAAACUCCAUUUUCUUGGUUAGAGCAGUCAAGUUGAAGAGGGUAAGUUUGUGGUUUAAAGCGUCCAGCAAGAGGGUAGUAAGGAACCAAAGCUUUUGAUAAUGCUUCUCUAACAAUGUUGGCAGGGGAAACUUCAGCAGAAGGGGAAUCUCUAAACACAUGGAGAGUACGAGCAUUGCAUCUCAACACAGGGAGGCUGUCAAUUGGGGAUAAAUGAAGAAUGGUUGAAGGAGUUUCUCCACAAGGCUUAACCAAACUGGGCUUGCAUCUCUUUACAUUCAUCUUGCAAUUACUACAAUCCAUCAAGAUCAACAAACUGAAAUGGUACCUGCUUCUUUCUCUUGCUCUUGCUCUUGCUCUUGCUCUUGCACUCUAUAUAUUUAUGUGUGUGUGUGUGUAUAUAAUAAUAGAAAUGUGGUCUUUAGCUUGAAGCAAGUCUAAUCCUUGGCUUUCAAGUGCUCCAAAGUAAACUUCCUAAUUGCUUACAGCACAAUGUAUGUUUCUUUAACUUUGUGUUAGGUGGAUAUCACUACUAAUUUUCAAACUUCAUUCGAUUACAUUUCUUACAGUGCUUUGGAUCAUUUUUGAACAUCUGUGUUUUAAAGGUAGCAAGCACUUAGAACAUGAUGAUUGAACUAACAAUGUCUUUGCACUUACUGCUCAGAUAAGCUCCCACCAGAAUCCACUUUCCAAAAUGGAGCAUUUUAUAUCCUAUCCAUUAUCCAUUACUCAUUAAAUGACAUCAGACAUGGGUAUUGCCAAUAAAAAGGCAGGAAAUUUUUGUAUACUACGGUAAUACCUACUACUUCUCUUCAGAAUUUUACAUGAUAUUAAUUUAUUAUCCAUUUAUUUCAUAGAUUCUUAGGUUAAGAUACUAUACUUGCUAUAGUUUCAAAAUGUUCAUUUACACUUUGAACUUCGCUUUAUUUUGGUCCUCGGUGACAAUUUUUGUCUCUUCAUUUUCAUUUUUUAAGGAUCAAAAUGAUUAUAUUUUCUUAAGAUUCAUGAACCAAAAUGGACCAAAGUUUAAAGUAUAGGUACCAAAAUGAAUAUUUUUAAAGCACGUUCUAAAAUGAACCAAAAUCAAAAGUAUAGAGAUCGACGUAAUAUUUAAACCUAAUUCUUAAAUUUUAUUUUUGUGAAAAAUAAUGAACAAAGGUAGUAUGAAAAUUUUCUACACUAUCGUAAUACUAAUCUUUUUCCCAAGAAAAACGCCCAUUUUCCACAGAUUCACGCCACUAAACUUCUGUCUACAAAUAUUUUCUGUGCAGUGCUGAAUGGCCCUGAAUCCCACCUGGAUCCAAAUCUCCAUAUCUUCCAUCCAUUUGUGAGAAGAUGGGUUUCAUGUCACUGUUUUGAUGGAGAGAGCUAUCCCUAUUGAGGUUGAACUGAUCCAACAAGAAGAAAUGAACACACAAAGGAAACAGUGGAGAAGAAUGAUAUCUGUAGGGUCAAUAAUCCAGGUAAACUAUGUAAGUGGAAAGUUAUGUUAUUGUUUUUUUUUCUUAAAUGAGAGUUGUUGGUUUGGUAAUAAGUGGAAACUACUCGCAAAAAUGAACAUCGCAUAGAAAGGAGUUCUUGGUGAAAAGUGGAAAUCCGAAGUACAUAGAUUUCACGAUUGUGGUAGUCAAAAUUGUCUACUAAUGUGGAAUAUUUUUUUGUACUAUACAUUUAUUGCAUCUAACACUCAUGUGGGGUUAACUAAAUAAAUUAUGUAUCCAAACAUAACUUCUUUUUUGCCUUUAGGUGUAUGCCACUCUUUGUUUUUUAAUUUUUAAGUUUCAAAAUAUUUCAUAUUUAGGCCUCUGGAGUUUUAUUUUUGAGUUUCGGUUUUAUAUUAAUCACUAGAUUUCAUUAACUUAAUUUUAUUGUUAAUAUGUAUUAUUUUAAGGUUACUAUAGAAUGAAGUUUUACGUUUAAUUAGUGGGAUGGAAAUAGUGAACGUAUUUGCGAAGACUAAAGUGGGUAUUUAUUGAAAUCUAAGAUUAUAAAUGUAAAUUUUAAUUAUAAAUAUCAAAUCAAAAUCAAAAUCAAAACUAAGGUGACCAAAAACAUUUUUUUUCUUUCCAGAUUUAUUUAGCUGUGA
rnacentral:lncRNA from 1 species